rnacentral:rRNA from 1 species
UACGUAGGGUGCGAGCGUUGUCCGGAAUUACUGGGCGUAAAGCGUGCGCAGGCGGUUUUGUAAGCCAGAUGUGAAAGCCCCGGGCUUAACCUGGGAAUGGCAUUUGGGACUGCAAGGCUGGAGUGUGGCAGAGGAGACUGGAAUUCCUGGUGUAGCAGUGAAAUGCGUAGAUAUCAGGAGGAAUACCGAUGGCGAAGGCAGGUCUCUGGGCUGACACUGACGCUCAUGCACGAAAGCGUGGGGAGCAAACAGG